rnacentral:tRNA from 1 species
GGGAGCCUAGCUCAGCGGUAGAGCAGUGGCCUUUUAAGCCAUUGGUCCUGGGUUCGAAUCCCAGGGCUCCCA